GACAGCUGGCAACACACUUGCCGUACGUGCGUAGCACCAAUAUUUCCAAAUGCAAGAGGGAGCCCAAAAACUUCAAAGGUUUUAUAAGGAAAAUAUCUGUGAGAAGAAAUAAAUGGAGCCAAAGCAAGUAAACCUGACAUGAUAGAAUCUGGAAACUAUAUAGCAAAGGGUCUCUUUAAUUUCUUGGGAUUCCACAAGUGAGCAGGCAUAAUGCAUGCUAUAUACCUGUGCUCGGUGCAGGAGGAGAGAGGAUAUGUGUGCAUCUGUCCUAAAGAUAUUGCUAACUGAAAAAUGUUUGAUCUUGAAUGUCUAUGGUAAUAUGCAUGAGGAUGGCACAUCUGGAAGAAUUCCAGCUACCUUUUUUCUCUCUAAUUGCACCACACAAAUUUUACGCCUCAAAGUCUGCACCAGCCAUGUAUUCCGAAAUGUCAAAUUUCAGCUAUAUCUUCACCUUUUUAGCAGUCUCCCAGAUGUAACACAAUGGAACAAGUGGAAUUUAGAAAACUCCGAACAACCACAAAAUCUUCCCACUUAUGCAGACAUUUCUCAGGCAUUGAGAAUAAUUAUAGACAAAAUCGCUGCAAGUAUUAGCCAAGAACCAUUUAACCCUGGAAUGUGCUUCAUCUCCAGCUGCUGGAAGAACCAGUGGUAUUCCCUCCCUUGUAGUCUCAGAUUACCAUAGUCCUCAAAAUAGAACUAUAAAAAGCCAGACUACCAUCCAAGCUAGUAAAAAUAGUUUUUAAUUGAAAGGGCACUUUGAAAUCCUUAUCCUGAAAAGGCUGAAAUCAUUUAUGGGUGUCUUGGAGGGGAGGGAAGGAGGAAAAGUUUCCAAGAAGAGCACACUGUUCUUCCAAUAAUAAAAUAUCAUCAAAACUACUGUUUAACAUUUAGAAUUUACAAGCUGGCAGCGGCAUGCUACAUGCCAUAUAGAUAGUAAUGAAAAUAAUCGGUCAUGCUCUUUAAUGCAGUACAACCACUUUGUGCUAUAAAAUAAUGGCAGUAGCUGGGCCCCUGACAGAGUAACUGGCACAGGGAGGAUUACUUAAUUUGAAGUGCGUGCGUGCUGUAGAGACCAUCUAGCAACAUUACUACUUCCCUCUCCUCGCGGGUGGUAUAUCAAAGCAAAGGAAGAGGGCUGAAGGCAAGGAAUUUUCUGACCAGGUUUAUUUGGAGACCUUUCUGCUUUUUGUGACCUACAAGAAGCAGCCUCUAAGAUAAGGGGGUAAUCCUGAGCAACAAGGAGCAGCGGUGAUCACGAGUACAAAUGAUGGGCAGGUUUAAUCUUCAGGUUUCCAUCCUAACUGUAGAAUUGGCAGCACUGAAAAAUAACAGAGGGUUCAUCCCUGGUUACUGUUACAGACACAUUUCUAAGAAGUUGAGAUUAAUAUCUGUCCAUAAUGAAGGCAGUUUGGAAAAGAUCUCUUCAGCAAUUGUUAGGGGAAAAUGCAGAAUUUGCCUUCACUGAGAAGUAACAUCUUGACCCUUAAUAUGCUAGAUAUGAUGUGGCUGGACUCUCUAAUCACUGUUUUUCUUUUGGAUUUUUUUUUUUAUUUAUUUUGUUUUAGCCUGUUGCUGAUCAUGCAUCAUAACUUUGUUCCGAGAGGAAGGGAAGAUUCCAACCUUUUUGCUUUUCAGAUACUUUUGCAGUGACUUUCAGACUAGGAGCCCUCAGGACUGGUGCUUACUGAAUCUCACAAAGUCUCACUUUGAAGUCUAGACUAGAGGAGUUAAGUGUAAGCCUAAGUGAAAUGCUCUUUUUUUCCCCUUGAAUAUGAAAGGUUAUACUAUAUCUAGGAAUACAGCUACUUUAUUGGAGAAUUGAAGGAAACACUGCUGUAAUUAAUUUUUCCAAAGAAGCAGCAGACAGCUAGGUCACUUGUGACUUCUGACAUCUCAAAAAAAUCUAGCAGAGAAUUAACCCUCUGAGCCUAAGGUUAAGUAUGUAACCUGUAAAGUGGGCAUUCCUAGAAAGAAGAAAGAGAAGCUUGACCUUGCUUUUAGAGACCUGGGACACGGGAAGGAAAUGAUGAUCAAAAUUAUGUACAAGGCUCUAAGUAGAAGAGACCAAAAGAGCAGUUAUCACUUAAAAGGUCUUUGAUAUCUACAACAAGGAACAAGCAUUGACAGAUGAAUGAGGAAAUGGGGGAAAAACAAGAUAUUCAGAGAAAAUAACUACUAGUUCUCUGAGGAUUUUAACCUGGCCAACAUACUAACGAAGAUCUCUAUUUUUGGUUUAAAUGCAAAACAGUGCAGAACACCAAGCGCUAUUGAAUGAGAUUUUCAGGUGUACCUUCGAGAGUUAAUGAUUUCCAUACAGGGGGAAAUGUCAUUCCUUAUUCUACAAUGAAACUUGACCUGUAAAUAAUUUGUCUAGAAAGAGCUGUCUCUCAAUAAAUCUGUACUCUGGGAGGAGUUUGGGGUAAGUUGGUUAUCUAUAUUUGAUGUUGGAUUAGUUGUACAUAAAAGAGGCAGAAAUGCAUUGAGGAUAAAUGAUGCUGUGAUACCUGAACCUCUAAAUGGCUGAAAGCAAAGCAGAAAUUUAAGAUCUGCUAGGACUGAGGAGAAAGGGGGGUCGAAUAUAAAGGACAGAGGCAUUUAAUGGUGAGACGGUAUCCAGGAAGUGAGAUAGGAAAUGGAGAUUGUUUCCUUGCCCAGAAAUAUGAGAACUAGACCAUUUUCUGGCAGCAAAAAGAGCCAGAGUAUAGAGCAGAAACUGGAUGGGCUUCAAGAGCUUGAAUGAAUAGCGGAAGGGAUAAUAGGAGAAGAUUGCAGGGUAUGCAGCCUGUACAGAAAGUGUUCUGAGGAACAGGGGACAGGGAGAGGCUCUGAGAAGGGAGUGCAAGAUGCAGGCAGGCAUUUAUGGUAUUUCUGAUACUGUAUGGAGGUAGGGAAUAACAACAGUACAGAAGGAAUGAUUUCGUAUAGGCUGACAGUAGACAUGGAGAUCCUGGAUGUCAAAAGAAAGAACGAAGAAAACAAAAAU